GACGAACGCUGGCGGCGUGCCUAACACAUGCAAGUCGACGUUAGUGGCGAACGGUUGAGUAACCCGCGGGUAACCUGCCCAUCAGAAGGGGAUAACACUUGGAAACAGGUGCUACUACCGUAUACUGAUGGAUGGACCCGGGUGGCAUGAGCCAGGUGGUGGGGUAACGGCCCACCAAGGCCGCGAGGCAUCGCCGACCUGAGAGGGUGAUAGGCCACAUGGGAACGGAGACACGGCCAAUACUCCUACGGGAGGCAGCAGUAGGGAAUCUGCGGCAAUGGGCGAAAGUCUGACCGAGCAAGGCCGCGGGGGUGAAGAAGGUUUUCGGAUCGUAAAGCCCUGUUGUUGGAGAAGCGGUAUCUGAAGAGAAAGCAACGGCUAACUACGUGCCAGCAGCCGCGGUAAUAC
rnacentral:rRNA from 1 species